AAUUCCUUGAAACACAUAUCUAUUAUUCCUCUCAUUUCCCAUGAUUUAUCUUAUCCCAGGAUAUGCCAGGAUCAAGUAUGGAAAUGUUACCUGCAGACCCCUCUUCAUUAGGCAGCUGCUCACCUCACAGUCUACUGUGACUUUAGAUGUUGCUACAAAUCAAUAUAGUCUUAAUUUUUAUACUCUGUCUUUUCCAGCACAGGCUCCCUCCACUCUGUUGUUCCAUUUAUCUCUGUUGAUCCUGUGUUGGAGGCACAACACGGAGACCCCAGGAGGCAACAGCAGCAGGAAUUGCCCUGAGGGGCUUGUUUUGGCUGGGAACUGGGAUCAGCACAGCCAGGGAAUCACAUUAAAUAAAUAUAUAGCGAGCUGCAGUGUCACAACAAGUAGAUGUACAAUUACGAAGACAAAAUACCCCAAGGAAAUCAACACAAGGCUUAUUAAUAUCCAGGCCUGCAGAAGACAACUGUCAGACAAUUGGUCAACAAGGUGCAUGUAUUUUCCCAGUCAGGAAUGGUCAAAUUGGUGUUGGGGAUGGAAAAACGGAGCAAGGAGGUGAUAAUGCAGUAUCUGCACCACAGGUAUUCCUGGCCUCAAUACAGGCAGCAGCAAGGAAUUUGGGGGCCAGACAGCUCUGGGGAGCCCCUGCUCAGCCCUGCCAGCCCCCAAGAAACCCCUGAUCAUGGCAGGUGAUAGGCCAAGCCCUGGGUCCAUCCUGCUCUCCUGGCCAUGGGCACAGCAGCAGCAGUUUGCAAGUGGUGCCUGCAGAUCUUCAAAAGAACAGAAUUUGGCCCUUAAUGUUCUUUUGAUGUGUUUUUUGUAUGCAAAUAAGGUUUAAUUUCUGAACUUUGAACAGUUUGCAGAUGAGUUUAUUAGAGUGUUGUGUUAUUAAGUUUAUACCCCUGGGGUCAGUGCAAGGCAGUCAGAAACUGCAGCAAACAUUAUUUAUAUUGUUAAACAAAGUCAAGGAAUUUCAGGCAGCUGGUAUUCACCACCAAAGCAGACAAUCAAAACAAAGCCAUAUUUGUAAUCAUACUCAGUAGUCUUUUUAUGUGGAGUAAUUACUAAAAUAAUCGAAAGACAUGGAUCAGAUUAUUAAUGACAGCGAUAGCCUGGAAUACACAUCCCUACCUUGCAGAGAGCAGACGGGGAAGUGGGAAAUGUAAUGAAUAGCCCUGGGGUUCUGCAAUGCCAGAGCUCACACUUGGAAAUCUGUUGUC